rnacentral:lncRNA from 1 species
CGGGAAGGGCCGGCCCCCAUCCGCACCCCCGACCCCCGAGGUCAACAACAGGAUGGUCCCUGGGUCCCAGGGGAAGAGACAUCACCCAGUAGGAGGGAGCACGGUCUAGACAGAGGCCACGAGGGCGGGAGGGGGCGAGAGUGGAGAGUGGCCCAGCUGGCCAGGGUCGUCUAAGUGAGAGGAAAAGGGAGAGGGCGGUUGAGACCAGGCCCUGAAUUCCGCGUUCAUCUUAUCCUGAGGUAUUUAGUGCCGAGUGUGGCCUUGGUGCUAGGAUUCAAAGAGGAAAGGAAGAAAACUUUCCAUUCUAAAAGAAACUCUACGUAUGGCGAAGAAGAUGAAAUAUAGUCAGAAAACCAUACCAGUAGGUGGUAGGUAAAUGCAGAAGUAUUUAAGAGCUCAUACAGGAGUGCCUGCCUCAGGACAGGGAAUCUGAGAUGCUCCGCAGAGCUGGAUCUUAAAGAAUGGAUUAAGUUGAUAAAUGAUGCAUACAACAUCCUAUAGAAGACUGUCACCACCCCACCUCACUGAUCAGCCCUCUGCCUACAGCCACACCCACAGAACAUUCAGCCAUUUCUCCUGUGGUUCCCAGCCUGCAGCACAGCGUCUGCACGUGGAACUCUGGAAUGCUGACCUACAGUCUGAGUUCCUGUGCCCUUGCCUGGGGCUGACUCUCUACUUGACCUGUAACCCACAACUGGGCAAGAGAAAAUUCUGCAGCCACAGCUCUGAGGACAUGAGCAAAAUGGUUUCCAGAUGGAAUGUCAAGGAUUCCCAUGAAGUGUCAGGGAGUCUUCAGGCCACGCUUCAGGUUAUCUCCUUCUCUUUCCCUUUUCUGCUUCACACUUGCUCUCAUCCUCUUUCUCACCCCAUAUCUGGUCAGAGGAGAUAGGAAGGUUCUUGUUACCUGGUACAAGACAACUUUUGGAAUCCCAGAUAUUCAGAUUAUUUCCCCUUUUCCUCUUUGCAAAUGAUAAUACUCACAGCCAAGAGGCAUCACCCGGAUCCGAGGCUGCUUCUCCUUAGGACAUGCAGACAGAAGGAGAAGGCGGGGCUGGCAGCCUCCAGUCCACAGCCUCCCUUUCUCCUCCCGGCGAUGAUUAACUAGGCCUAGACAAUGGAGAUCUACGGCAUACGCCCAGGGCCUCCUCUUCUCAAGCAUGGCUGAUCAGUCACUUUCCCGUCUAUCCUUCAUUUAUUGAAGCCAACUAUGAACGACUAAAGGAAGGAUGAGAAAAGUCACCCAAAGUCAAAGGGGACAGCGUGGGAGACUGUUCUAGACAGAAGGAAACACCUUUGCAAAGGCCCUGAGGAAGGCAGGGGACUCUCCAGGAGCAGAAGGGCUGUGUGGCUUCAGAAUCCACAAAAGAGAGCAGAUACAGGACACUGGCUGGAGCAGGCCCUGGAGCCCGCUGCUGUCCUGGAGGCCUUGGGGAGGCCCAGUGUUCCCAGGGUGGAAGAAGUAGGGGACAGCUUGACGUAGUGGCUGUUGAUCAGCUGAUAUGGAAGUACGUCAUCUUAUUAACAAUUGAGAAAGGAGUGCUGUGCAAUUCCAUUCAAUGCCAGUGAUGCUUAUGGCCGUUUUUAUGAGUUCUGUCAUUUUCAAAUGAGCAAGAGGAAGCCUCUAAGGGGGUUUAAGCAGGGACUGACGUAAUCAGAUCUGUGUUUUUCCAAAGGGAGAGGGAGAAAAAGAACAUUUCUUAUUUUUCAAAAAAGGUAAUGCAAAAGCAUCAUUCCACAAUUCUCUUGUAAUGAAAAAAAUAAAUGCAAACUUAAGCAAAUCCAUCA